GUUUUUAUCGUUUAGUAGAGCCUUCCUUUUUCUCUCAGAUUCUUUUGUAGAGUUUCUGGGGGAGUUGUAUAUUCCUAUAGAUUUUUCAAGGUGUAUAUUGUUUUGAGGUUUUGGUAUGGCUGUCUGUGUACUUCAUUUUGUGUACAACAUUGCACCCUUGCUAGCGCUGUUUCUAAAAAGCACACAUAUAUAAAAAAUAAGAAGACGUCAUAAACAUUCUAUUAAUAAUAUGUAGAU
rnacentral:lncRNA from 1 species